GUUUCAUGUCAUCUGCAACACAACAGCCUGUCGCUGUUCAUAAGUUUCAAACAUAAAUAUUUCGCAACCAGCCGUUCACCGUAGCCUGGUAAGAUGUGUAAUAAGGGCUCAGAACCAUGUAUCUUGUUGUAAUUUAAAGGGCUUUAUCUUCAAAACCCAAAAGAAGUCUUCGAAUCAAAAACACUGUUGCUCUCUCUCCCGAAACCCUAAGGCAACCAUGCUUCUCCAACCAUCUCUACACCUCCAAAACGCGUCAAUUUCGUCAACUAUCUCCUACUCGCG
rnacentral:misc_RNA from 1 species